rnacentral:rRNA from 1 species
AGACAGCAGUAGCCGCGGGAAUACGUAGGGUGCAAGCGUUAAUCGGAAUUACUGGGCGUAAAGCGUGCGCAGGCGGUUAUAUAAGACAGAUGUGAAAUCCCCGGGCUCAACCUGGGAACUGCAUUUGUGACUGUAUAGCUAGAGUACGGCAGAGGGGGAUGGAAUUCCGCGUGUAGCAGUGAAAUGCGUAGAUAUGCGGAGGAACACCGAUGGCGAAGGCAAUCCCCUGGGCCUGUACUGACGCUCAUGCACGAAAGCGUGGGGAGCAAACAGGAUUAGAUACCCCCGUAGUCCCUGUCUCUUAUAA